GUGGAGCGCAGCAGAGCUCCCAGAGUACUGUGGUGGACAACGUUUCUUUGUUCUCUGGCUUUCAAGUUUAAGGGGUGCUUGGACUAUCUUGCAUCGGUGGAUAUGAAAAUAAUGGUAACCUACCCUACGAAACAGCUAUUUGCACAUAAGCUUAACAGUUCCCUGUGAGAUGCUGUGAAAGUCAGCAGGGAAGUGCGAUGUAGAAGAAACGACUGCCAGAAGCUUGCUAAGGAACCGCACAACAUGUGUGGGCAGCAGACAAAAUAUUCAU